rnacentral:rRNA from 1 species
AUUGAACGCUGGCGGCAUGCUUUACACAUUCAAGUCGAACGGCAGCACGGGGGCAACAUUGGUGGCGAGUGGCGAACGGGUGAGUAAUGCAUCGGAACGUGUCCUUAAGUGGGGGAUAACGCAUCGAAAGAUGCGCUAAUACCGCAUAAUCUCCGAGGAGAAAAGCAGGGGAUCGCAAGACCUUGCGCUUUUGGAGCGGCCGAUGUCUGAUUAGCUAGUUGGUGGGGUAAAGGCUUACCAAGGCUUCGAUCAGUAGCUGGUCUGAGAGGACGACCAGCCACACUGGGACUGAGACACGGCCCAGACUCCUACGGGAGGCAGCAGUGGGGAAUUUUGGACAAUGGGGGAAACCCUGAUCCAGCCAUUCCGCGUGAGUGAAGGAGGCCUUCGGGUUGUAAAGCUAUUUCAGCCGGAACGAAAAGGUCACGGCUAAUACCCGUGACGAAUGGCGGUACCGGAAGAAGAAGCACC